rnacentral:rRNA from 1 species
AGAGUUUGAUCCUGGCUCAGGAUGAACGCUGGCGGCAUGCCUAACACAUGCAAGUCGAACGGGAAGCUUGCCUUCGGGCGAGUGGAGAGUGGCGAACGGGUGCGUAACACGUAGCUCAUCUGCCCUAGAGACGAGGAUAACGUCUGGAAACAGACGCUAAUACUCGAUAAGCUCACGGACUGUAGAGGUUUGUGAGAAAAGUUCAGGCGCUCUAGGAUGAGGCUGCGGUCCAUCAGCUAGAUGGUGAGGUAACGGCUCACCAUGGCGACGACGGAUAGGGGACCUGAGAGGGUGACCCCCCACACUGGCACUGAGACACGGGCCAGACUCCUACGGGAGGCAGCAGUGAGGAAUAUUGCGCAAUGGGCGAAAGCCUGACGCAGCGAUGCCGCGUGAGCGACGAAGGCCUUCGGGUCGUAAAGCUCUUUUCCAGGUGACGAGGAAGGACGGUAGCCUGGGAAUAAGUCUCGGCUAACUACGUGCCAGCAGCCGCGGUAAAACGUAGGAGGCGAGCGUUAUCCGGAGUUACUGGGCGUAAAGCGCGUGCAGGCGGCCAUGUAGGUCAGAUGUGAAAGCUCCCAGGCUAAACCGGGAGAGGUCAUUUGAAACCACAGGGCUAGAGAGCAGGAGAGGGGCAUAGAAUUCCGGGUGUAGUGGUGAAAUGC